rnacentral:rRNA from 1 species
GCAUAUCAAUAAGCGGAGGAAAAGAAACCAACAGGGAUUGCCCUAGUAACGGCGAGUGAAGCGGCAACAGCUCAAAUUUGAAAUCUGGCUCUCGGGCCCGAGUUGUAAUUUGUAGAGGAUACUUUUGAUGCGGUGCCUUCCGAGUUCCCUGGAACGGGACGCCAUAGAGGGUGAGAGCCCCGUCUGGUUGGAUGCCAAAUCUCUGUAAAGUUCCUUCAACGAGUCGAGUAGUUUGGGAAUGCUGCUCUAAAUGGGAGGUAUAUGUCUUCUAAAGCUAAAUACCGGCCAGAGACCGAUAGCGCACAAGUAGAGUGAUCGAAAGAUGAAAAGCACUUUGAAAAGAGAGUUAAAAAGUACGUGAAAUUGUUGAAAGGGAAGCGUUUAUGACCAGACUUGGGCUUGGUUAAUCAUCUGGGGUUCUCCCCAGUGCACUUUUCCAGUCCAGGCCAGCAUCAGUUUUCCCCGGGGGAUAAAGGCGGCGGGAAUGUGGCUCUCUUCGGGGAGUGUUAUAGCCCACCGUGUAAUACCCUGGGGGGGACUGAGGUUCGCGCAUCUGCAAGGAUGCUGGCGUAAUGGUCAUCAACGACCCGUCUUGAAACACGGACCAAGGAGUCGUCUUCGUAUGCGAGUGUUCGGGUGUCAAACCCCUACGCGUAAUGAAAGUGAACGCAGGUGAGAGCUUCGGCGCAUCAUCGACCGAUCCUGAUGUUCUCGGAUGGAUUUGAGUAAGAGCAUACGGGGCCGGACCCGAAAGAAGGUGAACUAUGCCUGUAUAGGGUGAAGCCAGAGGAAACUCUGGUGGAGGCUCGCAGCGGUUCUGACGUGCAAAUCGAUCGUCAAAUAUGGGCAUGGGGGCGAAAGACUAAUCGA